rnacentral:tRNA from 1 species
AAUAAGAUGCCUGAUUAAAAGGAUUAAUUUGAUAGAUUAAAUAAAACAUUAAACAUGUUCUUAUUG